rnacentral:rRNA from 1 species
UACAGAGGGGGCAAGCGUUGUUCGGAAUUACUGGGCGUAAAGGGCGCGUAGGCGGCCUUCUAAGUCAGACGUGAAAUCCCUCGGCUUAACCGGGGAACUGCGUCUGAUACUGGAUGGCUUGAAUCCGGGAGAGGGAUGCGGAAUUCCAGGUGUAGCGGUGAAAUGCGUAGAUAUCUGGAGGAACACCGGUGGCGAAGGCGGCAUCCUGGACCGGCAUUGACGCUGAGGCGCGAAAGCGUGGGGAGCAAACAGG